GGGUUGUGCCUCAGUGGUAGAGUGCUUGCCUGGCACAUGUGAGGCACUGGGUUCGAUCCUCAGUACUCA
rnacentral:tRNA from 1 species